AAUAGAACGGCCAUUUUCUUGAGAACUCUGUGGAGCAGUCGCAUGCUGCGUGUUGUGUUAACAUCGAGGAGAAUUUAUUCUAAAAGUGGUGCUGUUCCUCCUGUUGAGGUCGGUUCGAGUAUAAUCUGCGGGAUCCUCGUGUCACGUGCAAAUACAAGUUUCAGUAGGCCAAAUCAAGGAGAACUGUGAAAAGGCCAUGGAGCCCAAAUGAAGUGAAUGCUGGCAUGAAAUAUUUCGAAGCACAUAUUUUAAAGGGACACCUCGCAACAAAGGCAGCGUGUGAGCAGUGCAAAACUGCAGAGGACCCUGUUCUAAGAGAGAAGGGUACAGAAUAUAAGGGAUUUUGUGAGGAACCGAGGUUUGCAGUUGAAAGAAAUUUGGUUCGGUGUCACAUUCCAUUAAUGUACAGUAUGUGGCUUUUGUCAAGAUUUGUUGAUCCAGUGAAUUCACAAGUUAACAUCUUUUCAGUUUUAUGUUGGGUUUUAUUGAUUCAUCUUUUUAUACUUCAAUUGGUCUACAUGAAGUGUACAAUUUGCUGAUUUUUGAGUUUGUUCAACAAGGUUCAUUUACAUAAUACGCAUUUUGCAGCAGCACACUAUCAGUGUCCUUUAAGUGUUCGUAUUACUUCUACAGGUUUAGUAGCAGCAAAAGCGUGCACAAAUCUUUUGUGAAUUCACUUUUCACUGUAGAUGUGAUUUGGUUUCAUAUUGUAUUAAGAUUGACUCAGUAGUUGAAAAUUCUAUUUGUUUUCUUCAACAUUUGAAGCAAAAAAAUUUUGCAUACAUUGAAGAAAUCAUUAAAGUCUUGUUCCAAAGAA